rnacentral:misc_RNA from 1 species
ACAAACUUGGUCAUUUAGAGGAAGUAAAAGUCGUAACAAGGUUUCCGUAGGUGAACCUGCGGAAGGAUCAUUAUUGUAUAAACUUAAUGGAUUGUUGCUGACUCUAUGAGUAUGUGCACGUCUGUUAUUUUUAUUUUUCCACCAUGUGCACUAUGCAUAGUUCUGAAUAGUUGUAAUCGAGUUUACUUGGUUGUUGAGGAUUGCUAUUAUUAUAAUAGCUUUCCUUGUGUUCAGAUUCUAUGUCUUUUUAUUUACUCCAAUGUAUGUAUAUGAACGUUAUUAUAGGCUUUCCAAAAGCCAUAACCUAUAAUACAACUUUCAGCAACGGAUCUCUUGGCUCUCGCAUCGAUGAAGAACGCAGC